rnacentral:sRNA from 1 species
UCACAGUGGUGACACUCCAUCGUCGGUUC